ensembl:lncRNA
AUGUCGACCCGAACGCCAUUGCCCACCGUUAACGAGCGCGACGCCGAGAAUAGUAUGGAAGUGAAAGUGAUGCAGGGAUCGAACAGAGCCAUCACCAUCAAACCAAACGUGAGUCGGGGUGUUUUAGAGCAUUCUUGCAGAUGCACAUUGGAAGGCUUUCACUUUUACAACAGUUGCAUAACAGUGGAAAGGCUGCGAGAGAAGGGAGUGCCUUUAAGGAGGCAAGUGUGUGUGUGUGUGUGUGUGUGUGUGUGUGUGUGUGUGUGCGGGGGGAUGUUUUUACGGAGCUCGUACCUUCCCGGAAUGUUUUUGUCCAGGCAGUUUGUUCAUUGUCAUGCUAAAGCAGGAAUGCCGAUGCUGCUGUGUCAUGAAAGUCUGGAAAACUGCAGCUGUUUCAUCUCAUCUGUGUUCUCUUCAGGGUUCACUAUUUAUCUGUGGCUUCUGAUCAGAUUUGAGCUGUGUUCUGAAACCAAGCCUGCGUUUUUUUGAGACGCAGUGCAGCAGAAUGGAUCUGAGUGCAGGUCUUUUUAAGAGUUUUAACUUCUUUUACGUGACAUGGUGACUUAAUGAAGUGCUCAUGGUGUGAGAUGAGUAACAACAGACAAGAUAAUGAUGAUCUUGAACCGAACUUAAUUGACUGAUGAGAGAUGAAUGAUGAUGCCGUGGCAAAUACAAUAUUAGGUCAAUAUAAUUGGAUAAAAUAUAUAAUUGGUGCUACUUGUAUUAGUGUUCAUAGUUAAUCACAUUGGGGUCAUCAUAAUUUGCAGAAAUGUUUUUAUAUAGGCUAGUUUUUUAAGGUUUUGGGAAGUCAAACCAAAUACCACUUGCAUUGCGAUUAAAAAGGUAAAAUUAUUUAAUUAAUUUAUUUCUGCUUUUGACUUAACCAUAUGACUUUUUUGGUAGACAAGUUCAUUUUCUUUUUAAAUAAGCAGUAAAGCAGUUAAAAUAUUAUAAUAUUAUUUGGUCUAAUUUAAAGGGGUCAUGUGAUAAUGUAGAGUCGAUUUUUACAAAGCUUAUCGUUCUAAAGAGCUUGGUGUGUUCUGAUUGGCCAGCUAUCCAGUUUGUUGUGAUUGGCUGAAUACCUCAAGCGUGUGACGCCCCUUACCAUAUUUGGAAACACACAGCGUCUCCACUACAUGGCCGCAGCGGCAACAAUACUACAGCGAGAAAUUUUCUCUCUUUGCGUUUACAUUUGGAUGGUGUUUUGCAAAUCUUUCAACACAGUGAUGUAGAUUUGUGGGGGCGUGUUUUAGGAAGGCGUGGUUCAGUCUUAACUUUUAGAAAGAAUAGACUAUUUCUUUGGGUUUGAGACUUUAAUCUUUGCGACUUUAUAGAUCUUCUAUAUGCAUGAACAGCUUGUAACCCUCCAAAGACAAAACGGAAAACAUGAAAUCGCGUCAUAUGACCCUUUAAUGAAAAUAGGAUGAAAGUGUAUAUAUUAGGGCUGUCAGUUUAACGCGUUAAUUAGUUAUGAAAAAGUAACGCAAUU